GACGAACGCUGGCGGCGUGCUUAACACACGCAAGUCGAACGGUGAAAGCGGAGCUUGCUCCGCUGGAUCAGUGGCGAACGGGUGAGUAACACGUGGGCAACCUGCCCCUCACUUCGGGAUAACUCCGGGAAACCGGGGCUAAUACCGGAUAACAUUUUGAACCGCAUGGUUCGAAAUUGAAAGGCGGCUUCGGCUGUCACUUAUGGAUGGACCCGCGUCGCAUUAGCUAGUUGGUGAGGUAACGGCUCACCAAGGCAACGAUGCGUAGCCGACCUGAGAGGGUGAUCGGCCACACUGGGACUGAGACACGGCCCAGACUCCUACGGGAGGCAGCAGUAGGGAAUCUUCCGCAAUGGACGAAAGUCUGACGGAGCAACGCCGCGUGAGUGAUGAAGGCUUUCGGGUCGUAAAACUCUGUUGUUAGGGAAGAACAAGUGCUAGUUGAAUAAGCUGGCACCUUGACGGUACCUAACCAGAAAGCCACGGCUAACUACGUGCCAGCCGCCGCGGUAA
rnacentral:rRNA from 1 species